UACAGCAGGGCGUCCCCUGAACGGUAACGUUAGGUGAGGAGGUUACAGCAGGGCGUCCCCUGAACGGUAACGUUAGGUGAGGAGGUUACAGCAGGGCGUCCCCUGAACGGUAACGUUAGGUGAGGAGGUUACAGCAGGGCGUCCCCUGAACGGUAACGUUAGGUGAGGAGGUUACAGCAGGGCGUCCCCUGAACGGUAACGUUAGGUGAGGAGGUUACAGCAG